AGCAGCAGCCGCGGGAAUACGGAGGGGGCUAGCGUUGUUCGGAAUUACUGGGCGUAAAGCGUGCGUAGGCGGCUUUGUAAGUUAGAGGUGAAAGCCCGGGGCUCAACCCCGGAAUAGCCUUUGAGACUGCAUAGCUUGAACACGGGAGAGGUGAGUGGAAUUCCGAGUGUAGAGGUGAAAUUCGUAGAUAUUCGGAAGAACACCAGUGGCGAAGGCGGCUCACUGGACCGUUGUUGACGCUGAGGUGCGAAAGCGUGGGGAGCAAACAGGAUUAGAGACCCCAGUAGUCCCUGUCUCUUAUAC
rnacentral:rRNA from 1 species